rnacentral:rRNA from 1 species
AGCGAACGCUGGCGGCGUGCCUAACACAUGCCAGUCGAACGUGAAAAGGGAAACCUGAGUAAAGUGGCGUACGGGUGAGUAACGCGUAGGUAAUCUACCCCAGAAUCUGGAAUAACCUGCCGAAAGGCGGGCUAAUACUGGAUAGAGCGAGGGAACUCGUAAGAGAGUUUUUCGGGAAAGGGAGCCCGCAAGGGCCUUCGUUCUGGGAUGGGCCUGCGUCUCAUUAGCUAGUUGGUAAGGUAACGGCUUACCAAGGCGAUGAUGAGUAGCUGGUCUGAGAGGAUGAUCAGCCACACUGGAACUGAAACACGGUCCAGACUCCUACGGGAGGCAGCAGUGGGGAAUCUUGCGCAAUGGACGAAAGUCUGACGCAGCCACGCCGCGUGAGUGAAGAAGGCCUUCGGGUUGUAAAGCUCUGUCGGAUGGGACGAACAUCUUCAUAGUGAAUAGCUAUGAGGACUGACGGUACCAUCAAAGGAAGCACCGGCUAACUCCGUG